UGGAGAGAUGCCCGAGAGGCCGAAGGGGACGGUUUGCUAAACCGUUGUACCAAUACGGUACCGAGGGUUCGAAUCCCUCUCUCUCCGA
rnacentral:tRNA from 1 species